GGAAUUUUGGACAAUGGGCGCAAGCCUGAUCCAGCAAUGCCGCGUGAGUGAAGAAGGCCUUCGGGUUGUAAAGCUCUUUUGUCAGGGAAGAAACGGUGGUCUCUAAUAUAGAUUGCUAAUGACGGUACCUGAAGAAUAAGCACCGGCUAACUACGUGCCAGCAGCCGCGGUAAUACGUAGGGUGCAAGCGUUAAUCGGAAUUACUGGGCGUAAAGCGUGCGCAGGCGGUUUUGUAAGACUGUCGUGAAAUCCCCGGGCUCAACCUGGGAAUGGCGAUGGUGACUGCAAGGCUAGAGUUUGGCAGAGGGGGGUAGAAUUCCACGUGUAGCAGUGAAAUGCGUAGAUAUGUGGAGGAACACCGAUGGCGAAGGCAGCCCCCUGGGUCAAAACUGACGCUCAUGCACGAAAGCGUGGGGAGCAAACAGGAUUAGAUACCCGAG
rnacentral:rRNA from 1 species